UCUUAUCCCGAGUCGGCGGAGGGACAGGCCCUAUGAUGCCCGGCAACCUGCAUGGACGUCCUUGUCCAUGAAAAGGUGCCAAACCUGAAGCAGGGGGAAACCCUGGACGAUAAGA
rnacentral:ncRNA from 1 species